UACAGAGGGUGCGAGCGUUAAUCGGAAUUACUGGGCGUAAAGCGUGCGUAGGCGGUUAUUUAAGUCGGGUGUGAAAGCCCCGGGCUCAACCUGGGAAUUGCAUUCGAGACUGAAUAGCUAGGGUACGGUAGAGGGAAGUGGAAUUUCCGGUGUAGCGGUGAAAUGCGUAGAUAUCGGAAGGAACAUCAGUGGCGAAAGCGACUUACUGGACCAGUACCGACGUUCAGGCACGAAAGCGUGGGGAGCAAACAGG
rnacentral:rRNA from 1 species